rnacentral:rRNA from 1 species
AUUGAACGCUGGCGGCAGGCCUAACACAUGCAAGUCGAACGAGUGGCGGACGGGUGAGUAAUGUCUGGGAAACUGCCCGAUGGAGGGGGAUAACUACUGGAAACGGUAGCUAAUACCGCAUACCAUCGGAUGUGCCCAGAUGGGAUUAGCUAGUAGGUGGGGUAACGGCUCACCGAGGCGACGAUCCCUAGCUGGUCUUAGAGGAGGACCAGCCACACGGGAACUGGGACACGGUCCAGACUCCUACGGGAGGCAGCGGAGGGGAAUAUUGCACAAUGGGCGCAAGCCUGAUGCAGCCAUGCCGGGGGUAUGAAGAAGGCCUUCGAUUUGUAAAGUACUUUCAGCGAGGAUGCGUUACUCGCAGAAGAAGCACCGGCUAACUCCGUGCCAGCAGCCGCGGUAAUAC